rnacentral:rRNA from 1 species
CCUACGGGAGGCAGCAGUGAGGAAUAUUGGUCAAUGGACGAGAGUCUGAACCAGCCAAGUAGCGUGAAGGAUGACUGCCCUACGGGUUGUAAACUUCUUUUAUAGGGGAAUAAAGUUCAGCAUGUAUACCUUUUUGUAUGUAUUAUAUGAAUAAGGAUCGGCUAACUCCGUGCCAGCAGCCGCGGUAAUACGGAGGAUCCGAGCGUUAUCCGGAUUUAUUGGGUUUAAAGGGAGCGUAGGCGGAUGCUUAAGUCAGUUGUGAAAGUUUGCGGCUCAACCGUAAAAUUGCAAUUGAUACUGGGUGCCUUGAGUACAGUUGAGGUAGGCGGAAUUCGUGGUGUAGCGGUGAAAUGCUUAGAUAUCACGAAGAACUCCGAUUGCGAAGGCAGCUUACUAAACUACAACUGACACUGAUGCUCGAAAGUGUGGGUAUCAAACAGGAUUAGAUACCCGUGUAGUC